AUUGAACGCUGGCGGCAGGCUUAACACAUGCAAGUCGAACGAGUGGCGGACGGGUGAGUAAUGUAUGGGGACUGCCCGAUAGAGGGGGAUAACUACUGGAAACGGUAGCUCAUACCGCAUACUAUCGGAUAACCCAUAUGGGAUUAGCUAGUUGGUGAGGUAAUGGCUCACCAAGGCGACGAUCCCUAGCUGGUCUGAGAGGAUGCUCAGCCACACUGGGACGGGGACACGGCCCAGACUCCUACGGAGGCAGAAGUGGGGAAUAUUGCACAAUGGGCGAAAGCCUGAUGCAGCCAUGCCGCGUGUAGGAAGAAGUCCUUAGGGUUGUAAAGUACGUUCAGUCGGGAGGCGUUACCGACAGAAGAAGCACCGGCUAACUCCGUGCCAGCAGCCGCGGUAAUAC
rnacentral:rRNA from 1 species